UUUAUCGGUUUUUAGUAGUUAACGUAUUCUUUGUUCGAAUAUGUCAUGCCAAUAAAUGAUAUUCUUGUACUUUUUAUUUGCCAUUUUAUUGUAUUUUCGUCUGUUUUCAAUUAACUUAUAAGCAUUACUUUACAUAUAACUUAUAAGUUAUAGUAGUAUUAUGUUAUAAAUGCUUAUAAGCAUUUAUACCAUAAAAUUAAAUUAAUUUGGCCAAUUUUACAUACAAAAAAAUAUAAUUUCUAGUUGUCAGUUUAGGUAACCACCACCUAUUAUACUCUGACAUGCUAGAUAAAUUAUUUUGUAUGAAAAUCAUGGAAACAGUUUUUUUCUUCAAACAAAGUGCAAGUUGGCAUGUGCUGCAUUCCUAUACUGUUCUUGUAGGCCUUUUUUUGUACUGCAUAGUGCGCAUCGUCUUGAUGAUGUUUUUAUGGGUUGAUGCUUAUUUCCUUCAAAGCAGAUUUUGGCAUCUACUGAAGGUUUGUUUUUUUUUAUUGGAACAGUUUUUCUUCAUUCUCGGGCUAUAUGAUUUUGUGGUAGCCACUAUUUGCUUUGUUAGGAGAGCUUGAUAGAUUUUCCUACGAAAGUCUUUAUUACUGUAUUGCUCCAUAUUUAAUUCUUUACUGAUAAAUGCAUUUACUGUGCAGCAG
rnacentral:lncRNA from 1 species